rnacentral:rRNA from 1 species
UGGUAGUAGCAAAUAUUCAAAUGAGAACUUUGAAGACUGAAGUGGAGAAAGGUUCCACGUGAACAGCAAUUGGACGUGGGUUAGUCGAUCCUAAGAGAUAGGAGAAAUCUGUUGUAAGGUCUGGCUAUCUUCGGAAAGCCGCUUCUAUCGAAAGGGAAUCGGGUUAAUAUUCCCGAACCAGGACGUGGAUAUUGAGUGGUAACACAAGCGAAGCUGGGGACGGCGGCGGGAGCCCCGACAAGAGUUUUCUGUUCUUGUUAACAAGUGCACCGACCCUGGAAUCGGAUUGACCGGAGAUAGGGUUGGAGGCUUGGGAAAGGCGGUUAGUUUUGGACCGUUUCGGUGCGCUCUCGACGUUCCGUGAAAACCCAGCGGCGUGACUUAUUCGCACCCCUGGUCGUACUCAUCACCGCAUCAGGUCUCCAAGGUUAGCAGCCUCUAGUCGAUAGAAGAAUGUAGAUAAGGGAAGUCGGCAAACUAGAUCCGUAACUUCGGGAAAAGGAUUGGCUCUGAGGGUUGGGUAUAGGGGUCCUUGUUCUGAUGUUCGAGCUGAGCAGAAGCUACUUGACGCCUUCUGGUGGAUAGUGGAUUCGCGCAUGGCGAGAAUUGCCGGACAAGGAACGCCUCUUGGGGCUUUCCCUGUGCAGUGAACAACCAACUCAGAACUGGAGCGGACAAGGGGAAUCCGACUGU